CUCAGCCUCUGGCGGAGGAAGUGAUGUCACAGGCCCCAUGUGAGCGGAUUGCAACACAUGCAGCUGCCUGGAGAGAGGGAACCGGUGUCCUACGUCAGAGCCGCCGCCGCGGAGCCGCCGCCGGGGAGGAGCAGCCGCUGCCGCCCAGGACUGGGCCCUUAGGGAGGAGGAGGCGAGAAGAUGGCGGACGACCCCAGUGCUGCCGACAGGAACGUGGAGAUCUGGAAGAUCAAGAAGCUCAUCAAGAGCUUGGAGGCGGCCCGCGGCCAGGUCUCAUUAAAAUGG